rnacentral:rRNA from 1 species
GACGAACGCUGGCGGCGUGCUUAACACAUGCAAGUCGAGCGGUAAGGCCCUUUCGGGGUACGACGAGCGGCGAACGGGUAGGAGUAACAACGUGGGUGGACCUCGCCCUCCAGCUCUGGGAGUAAAGCCUCGGGAAACCGGGGUACCGUAAUAACUGGAGUAUGACUCCAUGACGCAUGUUGUGGGGUGGAAAGACCUUGUGCGGCUGAGGAUGGGCCCGGCGGCCUAUCAGCUUGUUGGUGGGGUGGAUGGCCUACCAAGGCGACGACGGGUA